GACGAACGCUGGCGGCGUGCCUAAUACAUGCAAGUCGAGCGGAGUUACAGGAGCUUGCUCCUGUAACUUAGCGGCGGACGGGUGAGUAACACGUGGGCAACCUGCCUAUAAGACUGGGAUAACUUCGGGAAACCGGAGCUAAUACCGGAUAAUUCUUUUCCUCUCAUGAGGAAAAGCUGAAAGACGGUUUCGGCUGUCACUUAUAGAUGGGCCCGCGGCGCAUUAGCUAGUUGGUGAGGUAACGGCUCACCAAGGCAACGAUGCGUAGCCGACCUGAGAGGGUGAUCGGCCACACUGGGACUGAGACACGGCCCAGACUCCUACGGGAGGCUG
rnacentral:rRNA from 1 species